rnacentral:rRNA from 1 species
GAUGAACGCUAGCGGGAGGCCUAACACAUGCAAGCCGAGCGGUAUUUAUUCUUCGGAAUAGAGAGAGCGGCGUACGGGUGCGGAACACGUGUGCAACCUGCCUUUAUCAGGGGGAUAGCCUUUCGAAAGGAAGAUUAAUACCCCAUAACAUAUUGAUUGGCAUCAAUUGAUAUUGAAAACUCCGGUGGAUAAAGAUGGGCACGCGCAAGAUUAGAUAGUUGGUGAGGUAACGGCUCACCAAGUCGAUGAUCUUUAGGGGGCCUGAGAGGGUGAUCCCCCACACUGGUACUGAGACACGGACCAGACUCCUACGGGAGGCAGCAGUGAGGAAUAUUGGACAAUGGGUGAGAGCCUGAUCCAGCCAUCCCGCGUGAAGGACGACGGUUCUAUGGAUUGUAAACUUCUUUUAUAUAGGGAUAAACCUACUUACGUGUAAGUAGCUGAAGGUACUAUAUGAAUAAGCACCGGCUAACUCCGUGCCAGCAGCCGCCGUAA